CUAAGAAUCUUGCGCAAUGGGCGAAAGCCUGACGCAGCAAUUCCGCGUGGGGGACGAAGGCCCUCGGGUCGUAAACCCCUUUUGCGAGGGAAGAAGUUCUGACGGUACCUCGCGAAUAAGCCACGGCUAACUACGUGCCAGCAGCCGCGGUAAUACGUAGGUGGCGAGCGUUGUCCGGAUUCAUUGGGCGUAAAGAGCCCGCAGGCGGCCUGUUAAGUUUCAGGUGAAAUCUCCCGGCUCAACUGGGAGGGGUCCUGGAAAACUGGCAGGCUUGAGGCAGGGAGAGGGAUGUGGAAUUCCCGGUGUAGUGGUGAAAUGCGUAGAUAUCGGGAGGAACACCAGUGGCGAAGGCGGCAUCCUGGCCCUGUCCUGACGCUCAGGGGCGAAAGCGUGGGGAGCAAACC
rnacentral:rRNA from 1 species